ACGAGGAAGUCAAGUCAAGUCCGCCAUUUCAUCUUCUUCUUUUUAUCGGAAAAGAAAGGAAUCAUGCAAGGAUGCAAGCUGAAGGAAAGGACAACUCUCACAUCAGUGCAUUACUAAUUGUUUUACUUCAUCAUCAAGCACACCAGGUGGUGCGGUGCACAGUGGAUAGCUCUGUUGCCUCCCAGCAAAAAUGUUUCUGGUUCGAGCCUCGGCUGGGUCAGUUGGCAUUUCUGUGUGAAGUUUGUAUGUUCUCCCCGUGUUGGCGUGGGUUUCCUCCGGGUGCUCCUGUUUCCCCCACAAGACAUGCGGUACAGGUGAAUUGGCUCAGAUUGUGAUGGACCUGGAAUGCGACACCAAUCAGCCUUAAGUCAAGAUCCAAAUGAAGCACCAGAGUACAGAUUAUGGAGGUUCCUUGUAAAGAUUAACCCAGGGAAGGAUCGAAAGUGGAGAAGACCAGAUCAAGAAAGACUAUAUCAAGAUCUGCGGUCAGUUCAAAGGUACUUUCACUAAUUACCAAGAUUUCAGACUAUGAAUUGAUGGAGAAAACUUUGAGUGUCAGAUCUUCCUACAUCCCCUAGCAAAAAUUCUUCCCAGUGUCUUGUAGUAGAAGUGAUGCAGUCAAUCGAGUUUACAUUAUUUCGUAAAUUGCUUUCUGAUUUAAUAAAAAAUAUAUUAACCAAACUUGAUUAAUGUAACAAUUUUGAUGAAAAGGGCAUGUUUUACUAGAGCUUUUAGCACAAAGGCACCCCCAUCUUGGAAUAUUGCUGUGUCUGACGUCACGGGGUUGGUAUGCUAGAAACGUUUUUGAAUGAGGUAUUUGUAUAAUUUAUACAUAGUCUGUCUUAAAGCGUCACUAAAUUGUACAGGUCAAAGCAAUCUGUUGUUAC
ensembl:processed_transcript